rnacentral:misc_RNA from 1 species
AAGUCGUAACAAGGUCUCCGUAGGUGAACCUGCGGAGGGAUCAUUACAGAGUUGCAAAACUCCCAAACCACCUGAAAACAUACCUGUAUUAUUUCUUCGGCAGGCGGCCCCAGGGCGGGGCCUGUAGCUGGCUUGUCCGGUGCCUGCCGGGGGAUACAAAACUCGUUAUUUUUGGUAUUCUGAGUCUUUAUACAAACCAGUCAAAACCUUCAACAACGGAUCUCUUGGUUCUG